AUUGAACGCUGGCGGCAGGCCUAACACAUGCAAGUCGAACGAGUGGCGGACGGGUGAGUAAUGUCUGGGAAACUGCCCGAUGGAGGGGGAUAACUACUGGAAACGGUAGCUAAUACCGCAUACCAUCGGAUGUGCCCAGAUGGGAUUAGCUAGUAGGGGGGGUAACGGCUCACCUAGGCGACGCUCCCUAGCUGGGCUGAGAGGCUGACCAGCCACACUGGAACUGAGACACGGUCCAGACUCCUACGGGAGGCAGCAGGGGGGAAUAUUGCACAAUGGGCGAAAGCCUGAUGCAGCCAUGCCGCGUGUAUGAAGAAGGCCUUCGGGUUGUAAAGUACGUUCAGCGAGGAGGCGUUACUCGCAGAAGAAGCACCGGCUAACUCCGUGCCAGCAGCCGCGGUAAUUC
rnacentral:rRNA from 1 species